rfam:Myotis lucifugus cont2.35628, whole genome shotgun sequence.
CCCUUGCACCUUGCUUCCGUCCUCCUUUCUCACUGUAGAGAAACAGGAAGGGAUUUUAUUAAUAAGAAUGACUGGGGUCACACUUAAAACAACAUCAGAUUUUGAUCUCUUCUGGGCUUGGAAAAUGGUUCAAGGAUCAAGGAGCAGCU